CUAAGUUAUGGAAUUUUAAAUAAUCUGACCCUAAAGUACAUAGUCACAUAAGGCAACCAUGAUAGCUUGAGGAGUUAGACAAAUUCUAUUUAUUAAUUAUGUUCUUCUUUUUUGUCCACAAGUAGAGAAAAAAUUAAGUGGCCAAAAUUGACCUCGAAGAAGGAAUACCUGAUUAUGAUUAAUGGCUCUCAGAUAGCUCGCAAAGCCCC
rnacentral:lncRNA from 1 species